GGGGGGGGGGGGGGGGGGGGGGGGGGGGGGCGGGGGGGGGGGGGGGGGGGGGGUGGGGCUGGCGGCGGGUGGCGAACGGGUGAGUAAUACAGCGGAACGUGCGCGGGAGGGGGGGAUAGGGCGGCGAAAGCCGGGGGAAUACGGCAGACGACGUGGGGGUGAAAGCGGGGGGUGUUCGGACCACGCGCGAUGGGGGCGGCCGAUGGCAGCUUAGCUAGUUGGUGGGGUAAAGGCCUACCAAGGCGACGAUCUGUAGCUGGUCUGAGAGGACGACCAGCCACACUGGGACUGAGACACGGCCCAGACUCCUACGGGAGGCAGCAGUGGGGAAUUUUGGACAAUGGGCGAAAGCCUGAUCCAGCAAUGCCGCGUGUGUGAUGAAGGCCUUCGGGUUGUAAAGCACUUUUGGCGGGAACGAAAAGGACUGUGCCAAUACCACGGUUCGAUGACGGUACCCGCAGAAUAAGCACCGGCUAACUACGUG
rnacentral:rRNA from 1 species